GAAAACUGCAAAAGAAUACAAAAAUGGCAUAUAGGGAGACUCAUCAGAAAAAGGGGAAGACAUGCAUCCCUUUCAAACCCACCACGUCACCUUUCUCCCCAGAGGGAAAGGGACAAGCCAAUCUUUGCAAUAGAGCUCAAGAAAACCUAGGGCUAGAAUCAGUGCCGGAUUUAAGCAGGAAAAUGCUUGGCAAGAUGGACAUCUCAUUUUCGUAUAGCCCUAACGAAGAUGAAGACAACAACCACCCUAUACCAUCACUGCCAUAAAUGCCAACCGACGAGAGAACACCCCAAUGACAGACUAAAAAUAGAUGAGCCAAUCUAUUAUGGAACCCUCUCAUUGAUGUAUAAAUCUGGCAAACCAGCAAACAACCUACACCAAAAAUAUACAGGGUCACCUGACAGGAGGAUGAAGGUGGAUCCACCCUUCAGAUGGGAGGAGGGACCUUCCCUUGCCCAAAG
rnacentral:misc_RNA from 1 species